rnacentral:lncRNA from 1 species
UUAAAAUAAAAAUCUUAAUUAAACGUGAGUCAAAAUCUAGUCAAAUCUUAAUCAAAUCUUAGUCAAACCUUGGUCAAAUCUUUAUCAAACCUUAGUCAAAUCUUUGUUAAAUUCUAAUCAAUUCUUAAACAAAUCCUAAUCAAAUCCUAAUCAAAUCUUAAAUAAAUCCUAAUAAAAUUCUAAUCAAAUCCUAAACAAAUCUUAUUACAACCUUACUCAAAACUUAGAAAAAAAUUAAAUAAGUCCUAAUUAAAUCCUAGACAAAUCUUAAAUAAAUCCUUACCAAAUCUUAGAUAAAUCCUAAUCAAAUUCUAGUCAAAUCUUAAUCAAAUCCUAAAAAAAUCCUAACCAAAUCCUAAACAAAUCCUAAUCAAAUCCUAAAUAAAUCCUAAAUAAGCUCUAAUCAAAUUUUAAAUAAAUUCUAAUCAAAUCUUAAGAAAAAUUUAACCAAAUCAUAUUCUUAAUCAAAUCUUAAAUUAAAUCUAAUUUUCUAAUCUUAAUCCUAAUC